GCCCGGAUGGCGGAACUGGUAGACGCAAGGGACUUAAAAUCCCUCGACCUAACGGUCGUGCCGGUUCGAUUCCGGCUCCGGGCACCA
rnacentral:tRNA from 1 species